AGGGGUCUAGUUAAAAACAAUAACUUUGGGUUGUCAGGCCAAGAUUGCUGGUUAGAAUCCAGCGGCUUCUG
rnacentral:tRNA from 1 species